UACGGAGGGCGCAAGCGUUGUUCGGAAUCAUUGGGCGUAAAGCGCGUGUAGGCGGCUUGGCAAGUCGGAUGUGAAAGCCCGGGGCCCAACCCCGGAAUUGCAUUCGAUACUGCCUCGCUCGAGUCCCGGAGAGGAGAGCGGAAUUCCCGGUGUAGGGGUGAAAUCCGUAGAUAUCGGGAGGAACACCAGUGGCGAAGGCGGCUCUCUGGACGGUGACUGACGCUGAGACGCGAAAGCGUGGGGAGCAAACAGG
rnacentral:misc_RNA from 1 species